CGCCUGGGCGGCGUGCUAUACAUGCAGUCGAGCGGACAGAUGGGAGCUUGCUCCCUGAUGUUAGCGGCGGACGGGUGAGUAACACGUGGGUAACCUGCCUGUAAGACUGGGAUAACUCCGGGAAACCGGGGCUAAUACCGGAUGGUUGUUUGAACCGCAUGGUUCAAACAUAAAAGGUGGCUUCGGCUACCACUUACAGAUGGACCCGCGGCGCAUUAGCUAGUUGGUGAGGUAACGGCUCACCAAGGCAACGAUGCGUAGCCGACCUGAGAGGGUGAUCGGCCACACUGGGACUGAGACACGGCCCAGACUCCUACGGGAGGCAGCAGUAGGGAAUCUUCCGCAAUGGACGAAAGUCUGACGGAGCAACGCCGCGUGAGUGAUGAAGGUUUUCGGAUCGUAAAGCUCUGUUGUUAGGGAAGAACAAGUACCGUUCGAAUAGGGCGGUACCUUGACGGUACCUAACCAGAAAGCCACGGCUAACUACGUGCCAGCAGCCGCGGUAAUACGUAGGUGGCAAGCGUUGUCCGGAAUUAUUGGGCGUAAAGGGCUCGCAGGCGGUUUCUUAAGUCUGAUGUGAAAGCCCCCGGCUCAACCGGGGAGGGUCAUUGGAAACUGGGGAACUUGAGUGCAGAAGAGGAGAGUGGAAUUCCACGUGUAGCGGUGAAAUGCGUAGAGAUGUGGAGGAACACCAGUGGCGAAGGCGACUCUCUGGUCUGUAACUGACGCUGAGGAGCGAAAGCGUGGGGAGCGAACAGGAUUAGAUACCCUGGUAGUCCACGCCGUAAACGAUGAGUGCU
rnacentral:rRNA from 1 species